ensembl:lncRNA
AUAAAGUUGUGUGUUUGUGAGUUAUCCGAAGCCAGGAGCCAGGUGCUUCUCCUGGUCUCCCACGUGGGUACAGGGCCCAAGCACCUGGGUCAUCCUCCACUGCCUUCCCGGGCCACAGCAGAGAGCUGGACUGGAAGAGGGGCAACCGGGACAGAAUCCGGCGCCCUGAGUGGGACUAGAACCCGAUGUGCUGGUGCCGCAGGCAGAGGAUUAGCCUAUUUAGCCGCGGUGCCAGCCAAAACACGAGCUAUUUCUAGUAAUUCACAUGGCUAAGGCUUUUCCAGUGAAUUUUUAUUCACGUGCUCAACUUUAGGUGAAGUGUCAGCCAAUCCAUAUGGUCUAAGAAAAAAGUAAAUGAAUUGCCACUUCUUGAUACUUUUGAUGUACUACCCAUAAGCAAUCAAAUAAUAAUUUUGUUUAUUCCAUAUUCAUAGGCUAAAGUUUCAAAAUGUUACUUAAAAGUAGAUGAGAGUUAUUUGCAAAUGAAAUAGAAUUUAUGGGAUGUCCUAGCCAUUUUGAUGGGGAGCGUGCUAAAAUCCCUGCUCUUUUUCCACAGUGCCUUUCUAUCACACAUGCCACUGGUUUACCCUGCAGCUCACCCAGCACAUCCCCAUUCAGAAGGCAGACUUCACCAGUGCCUUCACUUGGAAGGAGGACCAGAUGUUCCAGUAGCUCCUGGCUGAAAGCAAGAAAGCAACAUAUGCUGGACAAGAAAUCUUCCGGUGUUUCUGAUGUGAGGAUGAUGAUUUUAAAAAAUAGCAUGCAAUUUUCAUCUGUAUCUGCUAAUGAAAAAUAA